UCAGCGAUUGGAUAGCUGCAAUUGAAAUACGCUAUCGACGGUUGAAAAAAUGGUUCCAAUUUCAGCAGAUCCCUCCCAGGACCAAUUAAAUCGUUACUAAAAUUGCCGGACUGCAAGAAAUAGCGAGGCAUGGAGGAGCAGAAAACAGGGUAAGAAGAGUUGCGUUGUUCUCACACUGCAAUUGGUACCUCGUGUCGCCGCAGUGAGAUGGGUCACCGCCGAGUCGAAAGGGGUAACUUAUGUUGGGAAUGUUGCCGCAGGAGGAAGCAGGGCAGUUGGAGCUGAGCGCGGCGGCGCAAGUUUGUAUAAGUAGAAGGAUGACGACGAUAGGUAUUCUUACUCGUCUUUUCAUCGUUGCUGUGUGCAUUUGAUAUAAACUCUUUGCUACGCUCUCUUGAGACUAUUUGUUGUUGUGCAAGGGUUUCAACUACUAAAAAGACAGAAGAAGAUAUUUUCAAUUGUUUUGAGGGGUCAUAUUUUAUUAUCAGUUGUAGUUGUACUGUGUAUUAUCCAUCCGAUCCUACAGACCAACGGAUGGAGACACUAAAAAGUUGUCUUUAACUAGUAGUAUACCUUGCAAUGCACGGGCUUUUUAAAGAAUAAAAUAUAUUUAUUUUACAA